UUUAACAGCACAUAUAUUAUACUGUAACUGGAACACUACAGAGAAGAUUAGCAUGGCCCCUGUGCAAGGAUGACAUGGAAAUUCAUGAAGCAUUCCAUAUUUUU
rnacentral:snRNA from 1 species